rnacentral:rRNA from 1 species
AUACGUAGGGUGCAAGCGUUAAUCGGAAUUACUGGGCGUAAAGCGUGCGCAGGCGGUUUUGUAAGACAGAGGUGAAAUCCCCGGGCUCAACCUGGGAACUGCCUUUGUGACUGCAAGGCUAGAGUACGGCAGAGGGGGAUGGAAUUCCGCGUGUAGCAGUGAAAUGCGUCGAUAUGCGGAGGAACACCGAUGGCGAAGGCAAUCCCCGAGGCCUGUACUGACGCUCAUGCACGAAGGCGUGGGGAGCAAACAGGAUUAGAUACCCUGGUAGUCCACGCCCUAAACGAUGUCAACUGGUUGUUGGGUCUUCAUUGACUCAGUAACGAAGCUAACGCGUGAAGUUGACCGCCUGGGGAGUACGGCCGCAAGGUUGAAACUUAAAGGAAUUGACGGGG